CAGUUUCUAUGUUCUGUGUGAAGUUCCUCGAUAUGGUGAUUGUCUUGACAAACAUCCUGCUUUUGGCUAGAUUUAUCGUCUCUGUCAUAAAACCGGUGGUCAAGAUCGUGGCAAAGGAUCACCCCAGCCUCUUGAGCCAGAUGAGGAUCAUUUUCUUCUUAAUCUUGUCCAAUGAGAGUCUGUUCUUCGAUGGCCUGGUUAUCACCCUGAUGCUGAUUGG